GAAACUUAAAGGAAUUGGCGGGGGAGCACCACAAGGGGUGAAGCUUGCGGUUUAAUUGGAGUCAACACCGGAAAACUUACCGGGGCUGACAGCUGAAUGAAGGUCAGAUUGAAGGUCUUACUAGACAAGCUGAGAGGUAGUGCAUGGCGGUCUUCAGCUCGUGCCGUGAGGUGUCCUGUUAAGUCAGGCAACGAGCGAGACCCGCGCCCUUAGUUGCCACCGGAUCCCAGCGGGAUCUGAGCACUCUAAGGGGACUGCCACUGACAAAGUGGAGGAAGGAGCGGGCAACGACAUGUCAGUAUGCUCCGAAUGCCCCGGGCCACACGCGAGCUGCAAUGGCAGGGACAAUGAGUUGCGACCUCGAGAGGGGAAGCUAAUCUCCAAACCCUGUCGUAGUUGGGAUCGAGGGGCUGAAACUCGCCCUCGCGAGCAUGGAAUCCCUAGUAACCGCGUGUCACUAUCGCGCGGUGAAUACGUCCCCGCUCCUUGCACACACCGCCCGUCGCUCCACCCGAGUGGAGUCUGGGCGAGGCGUGGUCCUCUGGUCUGCGUCAAACCUGGGCUCUGCGAGGAGGGAGAAGUCGUAACAA
rnacentral:rRNA from 1 species